rnacentral:rRNA from 1 species
AGAAUUUUUCACAAUGGGCGCAAGCCUGAUGGAGCGACGCCGCGUGGGGGAUGAAGGGUUUCGAUCCGUAAACCCCUGUCAUUUGCGAACAAACCUUAACCGAUCAUACCGGUUGAGCUGAUUGUAGCGGAAGAGGAAGGGACGGCUAACUCUGUGCCAGCAGCCGCGGUAAUACAGAGGUCCCAAGCGUUGUUCGGAUUCACUGGGCGUAAAGGGGGCGUAGGUGGCCGGGUAAGUUCGGUGUGAAAGCUCGGAGCUUAACUCCGAAAUGGCAUUGAAUACUAUCCGGCUUGAGGUUCGGAGGGGAGACUGGAAUUCUCGGUGUAGCAGUGAAAUGCGUAGAUAUCGAGAGGAACACCGGUGGCGAAGGCGAGUCUCUGGACGAGUCCUGACACUGAGGCACGAAAGCUAGGGGAGCAAAC